rnacentral:rRNA from 1 species
UACAGAGGUCUCAAGCGUUGUUCGGAUUCAUUGGGCGUAAAGGGUGCGUAGGCGGCGAGCUAAGUUUGGUGUGAAAUCCUGGGGCUUAACCUCAGAAUUGCACUGAAUACUGGUUUGCUAGAGGACUGGAGAGGAGAUUGGAAUUCACGGUGUAGCAGUGAAAUGCGUAGAUAUCGUGAGGAAGACCAGUGGCGAAAGCGAAUCUCUGGACAGAACCUGACGCUGAUGCACGAAGGCUAGGGGAGCAAACGGG